CGAAUCCAAUCGUAGAUGAAAACCAAAGUACCGAUUCCAAUCAAUUCCAUCGUUUCCUAUCAUAAAGACGCGAAUCUGAGUCACUUUCGUUUCAAGCACAAGCAACCGAACCUCAGUUCGUUCCAGGUUCAUUGAACCGAAACCAUGUUCGGGCCGAGCACAUGUUCGCUUUCGGUUCAUCCUCCUUUUGUUCCAUUACUUUUGUUCCAAGUGCUUUCGUUCCAAGAGCUACCAACCGAACUCAAUUUCGUCGAUUAUACAACAAAGAGAAGCAUAGUAAACUAACAUUCACAGGUAAUGUCUUCAAACCAAUUUGACUUUCAGUUUGACCAUUGUUCAUCCCGAUUAAUACCCGUUCGCAUCAAAUUUCCGAGUACGACAGAAACCAUGAUUGCAAUACACACACUCAUAACAACAUCUUUGUACAUCAUCUUGAUUGAGAGACCACUGAUCCUGAUUGCGAGAUGAAUUUGCGAGAACAGAUGCUAAAAGUUACGUUACCAUCUUUCCAAAUCAAACUGACUUCGUAUUUCAGUUCAUAACAAUCGCAAUCUAUAGUUUACUUUCGUUCA